GCCGGGUGUGGUGGUGUGUGCCUGUAAUCCCAGCUACUUGGGAGGCUGAGGUGGGAGAAUCUCUUGAACCUGGGAAGGCAGAGGUUGCAGUGAGCUGAGAUCAUGCCACUGCACUCCAGCCUGGGUGACAGAGCGAGACUCCGUCUCAA
rnacentral:sRNA from 1 species